rnacentral:rRNA from 1 species
GAUGAACGCUGGCGGCGUGCCUAAUACAUGCAAGUCGAGCGAAUGAAGAGGAGCUUGCUCCUCUGAUUUAGCGGCGGACGGGUGAGUAACACGUGGGUAAUCUGCCUGUAAGACGGGGAUAACUCCGGGAAACCGGGGCUAAUACCGGAUAAUAAGAGAAGAAGCAUUUCUUCUUUUUGAAAGCCGGUUUCGGCUGACACUUACAGAUGAGCCCGCGGCGCAUUAGCUAGUUGGUGAGGUAACGGCUCACCAAGGCGACGAUGCGUAGCCGACCUGAGAGGGUGAUCGGCCACACUGGGACUGAGACACGGCCCAGACUCCUACGGGAGGCAGCAGUAGGGAAUCUUCGGCAAUGGGCGAAAGCCUGACCGAGCAACGCCGCGUGAGCGAUGAAGGCCUUCGGGUCGUAAAGCUCUGUUGUUAGAGAAGAACAAGUACGAGAGUAACUGCUCGUACCUUGACGGUACCUAACCAGAAAGCCACGGCUAACUACGUGCCAGCCGCCGCUGUAA